rnacentral:lncRNA from 1 species
CUCUGUUUAACUGGUGAUGACCACACACUUUCAGAGAACAAUCCUCCAGCACAACAAAGGAACCAGGGAUUCCUGCAGCCCUGCCAAGCCUCACAUCCCCACAGCCCCUUAGUGGCCCCCUGAUCCCUCCAGGACUCCUGGCUGAGCCAGCAAGGCAGCCCUCCCCUCGGGGUGUGCAGGAACAUUUGCCACCAGACCUCACCAUAUGAUGGAUCCCGUGGGUCAUCAUCCAGCUCCAGUGCCUGUGCCCGGAUCUGCCUCUGGCUGUGCCCACGGAGGCCUCGUGCUCAGUCUCUGGGAGCAGCCUCUCCACCCUGGCAGUUGGCUCCAUGCUGGGUUUUGCUCACGCUUCUGAGCUCAGGAAGCAAAGUGUUAUCAAGUGCUUCUGAAGUGGUGGUGGCCCUCGAGCUGAGAACCAGAGCACUUCACCAGCUCUUUGUUCCCUUUCUCGGAGCUGUCUGGCUCUUCUCAAAGGACUAACAGUUUGCAGAUGCUGUUUGUUCAAUAAAAAGAGUAACCUCGUCUCCAGCUUCAGUAAAAACGUCUGCAAGAACUGCUGCUUUCUGCCUUGCUCCCAGCAGUGCAUCUGGGUGUUCUGUCACCACAAAAAGCAGAGAGGCCGGGGUUUGAGUCAAGGCCUGAGGUUUGGGGUUUUGGGUUAAGAUCUGGGGAGAGAUCCACUCGUUAUUGAGGACAUCCUGCAGCCCUGCCAGGCUCUGAAGGCAACACAUGGUGACAAGGUGCUGAAGUCAUCAUCCUAAAUCAGAGAUUUUAGUGGCUGACAUUCAGUAUUCUGAGAUUUUUCAAAAGCAUUUUAAAAAGCCUGAAGAGCAGUGGAAUCCUGGGUGGUUCAGGCUCUCUAGGUGUUUGCGAGUGAUUCAUCAGAACACUCUGACAGCAGCUUUUGUACAAUUUGUUGUCUCUGUGGACAGAGACAACAAAUCCCAGAUGGGUGAAGUAGCUUUGGCUGAAUCUGGGGUUGAUCUGCCUACAAAACCAGGGUGGCCCUACAUCCUGCCCUUUCUCUCCUCUACCUGUGCCCUGUCUGGAAGCAGGAGCCCGGAAUGGAAAUGUACAGGUGUCCCCUUGAUCCAGUUUCCAUGGUUGCCGCAUCGAGGUGGGGGCUACAUCUUUUUUUUAUAUAUAUUAAUAAUUUUAUUACAGUGGCUUCAUUCCACUGGCGAAGAAGGGAAGGGGGGAGAAUGUGGGGGAAUAAAAAAUGCUGGAUGAAAAGGCCAUGUUCCUGUGCCUGGGCUUAUUUGCUGUCAUUCUUUUUCUCUUAUUAGCAAGCACUGUUUUCCAAGAUGCUCAAAGUCCAAGAGCUCACUAACGAGAUCCCAGCUCUCGCUGGUGUGGGGGGAACAGCCCAGACAGCUGUGCUGGAGCCAAAUGUCUGUGGGGCCACCUCAGAG